AAAAAAAACGAAAAACAGCUUGAGCAUGUUCUGGCAAGCCCAAAACGUGCAAUAUGCUAGUCAAUCCUGACAUACCACUACAUGAAGAAAGGUUUUUCAGUCGUGGUGGUUAUGUCAAGUUGAAACAUUAUAUUGUAAAUAUUCACCAAUUUACCAAUAGGACAUAUUAAUGUGCUUUUUAUCUUUAAUUUAAUAGGCGUUGUUGUUACCGGCUGGUUCAUGUCGUUGAUAGGACUAUGCCCUUUUAGUCUAUGAUGAAGACAAUCGUUCACCUUAUGUAGGCAGCUAUUUUAAGUUCAUCUCGACUUGCAGAUGUGUAAACUUUAAUUAUAAACAAAAGGUGGCAAUCAUCUUUAAUUUAUAUAGUAGAGUGGUUACUGGUUGUUGUUACCGGAAAAGUUUGAAAUUCAGUUAUUUUCUUCAGAACGUCAUUUUAUGCAGAGAAAAAACUUUCACAGUUCGGCGUAAGAACUAGUGGUGAUAUGUGCUCUUUCUGUCGUAAUAGUCGGGUUACGGAUGCGCAUCCGUCACAUACGGCGAGUCGGCGACACAUGGUCUCUUUCGUCAACGUGCAGAAAAACUAAUGCUCUAGCAUUCGUCGUUUGGCCUUAAGUUACCAAAUAAGGAAUGCUGGACUCACCGUGUUUGCAGCAAAAGAUAUGCCAAUAACAUAAUUCUAUUUAUAUUUUCUUUUUCAUAUAUAUUAGAUAUUUCAUCUUCUUCACAAAUGAUUAAAAUUCAACCAGGAUGCUAUAUGUAAAAUUUCUUUGGUUUCAAAAUGCUGGGGGCCCAUCAAAACGCUUAAACAAGAGAAAAGAUCACUGACCGUGUAUACCUGUUAUUCUCAACGAUUAAACGUCAACACACGACCGACAAACAAAUUCAUCGAGGGCUUUGUGUUCUAUUUUUAAUUGCAGAACGAAUACUUUUCUAUAUUCACUCGGAAUGCAUAUUUGCUAUUCUCAGACUAUAUAUCAAAUCUAACGAUUCAAAUCUAAGCAUAUUAAAAUUCCCCAAUAAGACAUAAGUUUUUACUUUAUCUUUUACUAUAAAAA